rnacentral:rRNA from 1 species
AGAGUUUGAUCAUGGCUCAGAUUGAACGCUGGCGGCAGGCUUAACACAUGCAAGUCGAGCGGUAACAGGUCGCUGAGAUUCCUUCGGGAUGAUCUUGAUGCUGACGAGCGGCGGACGGGUGAGUAACGCGUAGGAAUCCACCCAGUAGAGGGGGAUAGCCCGGGGAAACCCGGAUUAAUACCGCAUACGCCCCACGGGGGAAAGGCCGGGAUCUUCGGACCGGUCACUAUUGGAUGAGCCUGCGUAAGAUUAGCUAGUUGGUAGGGUAAAGGCCUACCAAGGCGACGAUCUUUAGCUGGUCUGAGAGGAUGAUCAGCCACACUGGGACUGAGACACGGUCCAGACUCCUACGGGAGNCAGCAGUGGGGAAUUUUGGACAAUGGGGGAAACCCUGAUCCAGCCAUUCCGCGUGAGUGAAGAAGGCCUUCGGGUUGUAAAGCUCUUU